rnacentral:rRNA from 1 species
UACAGAGGGUGCUAGCGUUGUUCGGAAUCAUUGGGCGUAAAGGGCGUGUAGGCGGUUUGUUAAGUAAUGUGUGAAAUCCCUCGGCUCAACCGGGGAACGACGCAUGAAACUGGCAAGCUAGAGUACCAAAGGAGGGGGUGGAAUUCCCGGUGUAGCGGUGAAAUGCGUAGAUAUCGGAGGAAGACACCUGUGGCGAAAGCGGCU